CUGCAGAUUGUUAAUCUGCGCUGGGAGUUCCGUCACUGUUGUCACAGUACAAAAGAUUCAUAAACAAAGAUUCACAAGUUUUGUACAUUUGUAGAAAGAGAUUUGCAGGCAAAAGAAAAUGGUUUGCGCAUUGGGGGCAUGACCUUUUAGUCCUGACCAAUCAGUCCAAACCACUGCUGCCUGUUGCUGCAACCAUUGGCUGGAUUGGCCCAACAAUACAAUCUCAGGAAGUAGCUUUGAAGAUAAGUAAUUUCUACAAACUAACGUUAUUCGGCCUGAAGUUAUUUGUGUAUUUAUACAUAUUUGUUGUUGUUGUGAAAAGGCAUGACAGUAGUUAGUUUAACAUGUGAAAUAUAAACGAGACAGUUUAGCGGGGUGGGUAUAAAUUGUGGAAAGUUUCAAAAGUUUCAACAAUCUCGUAAAUAACAAGGUUGCCAACAAACAACGCAAACAAAGUUGUAUAGCGGCAGAAUAAAAUACCGGGUAGGGAGUGGACUAUUUACGCACCGCGUUUAUUCCCAUAGAUGACUGUCCCUACUCUGGUAUCGAUAAAACAUUAAGAAUCAGUCCCAUGGUGAGUUGAAGCCUAUUCGGCAGCUGGUGAUCGAGGUGAUUUGAUCAUAUUACUUUGUUGGCAACCUUGUACUUUACGAGGUUUUUGGAACAGAUUCCUGUUGAAACUUUCCACAAAUUAUACCCACCCACUUUAGAGAGCUGGCAUCUGACCUGCAUCCUUACUAUCAUCUGGCAGCUUUAGAUGCGAGGGGGAAACACAUGGAUAUACUAGUUAACCAUCUGAUUGAUCAAGUUGAUUUUAAAUGCCAUUCGCCAGUUGUCAACAACAUGUAGCUAACUAACGCUAGAAUCAUUUAAACUGCUGGGGGACUCCCACCAUCACUGUAGCUAAUAAUGUUAGGUUUCUAAAAAAUGAAAAGUAUAUAUUUGCACUUCUUGUCAAACUAAUUCGUUCCACUGCCUGUUUAUUGAUUGAAAAAGUUGGCAAAUAGGCUGCAUUGUUUUUGGUAUAAUUUGUCUGAGUAAGAAUGUGCUGUGUUUUAAUUGGGCUAGUUAGCCAAAUUACUGACAGACUUAGCUUGUUGUUGUUCAUGUUUUGUCAUUGCAUUUCAGGUGGAGAUGGGGUAAGAUCCCUAGGACACAGCAUGGAUGCCACAUCACCACAGGACCAUAUAUAUUGAAUGUGAAUUGCCCACCACUGCAUGCUGCGACAAGGGCCUGGAUGGUGACACAUCUGCUUCAAGCUGCCUGACUGAAUACUGGGGCCUUCAGUGGUGCCUUCCCCUUUGAUUACAGCAAGAGUCUCCUUAUCUGUCUCCUAGCCAUUUAAAAUGUAUUUUAUGCAACCAGUCAUUCAUACAAUAGCUGACUUACA